CCGAGUUUUUUUUAAGGAUCAUAUUUUAAAUUUUUUUAAAAUUUUUAAUUUUCAACAUUAAGACAUUAACUAAUCAACUAGGUACCAAUUUUUGGGCGUAUCGAGGGUGCUGAUCCUUCCUCGUGCGUAACCGACUCCCAAACCUGUUUUUCUAAAUUUCAUGGACCAAAACUGUUAUUUUAAUAAAAUUAAAUUAUUUAUUAAAAACAACCAUUUUUCAAGGUGAUCCGAUCACACUUUAUCAAAAAGGAUUGGUGUCGACUCUCGUUUUCGUUUUCAUUUUUCAAAACCAAGUCGAUCCCGUUUUCCGUCCAAAAAAAUGGUGUCAACACUGUAAUACCAAUUAUUUGCCCUGCCCAAUCAAUAAUAAAAUACAAUAGCAGGCCCAAUAAAAUUAAAACCCAAUAGCCAAUUUCAACCCUAGUCCAACAGAAAAUGGCCCCAAAACACCAGCAAGAAGCCUAGGCGCAGCAACUCCCACACGCACGCUGCAACAGCGCCCGCACACCGUGUUUGUCGCUCCGUGCCCGUCGCGCGCACUCCACGGUCACCAAAUCUGCGAAAAAGGGGGAAACAAGCACAGCAAAUGACAGAAAGAAGUGGGGUUUUUGAUUUUUUUUCUUCAGAUUUUUAGUUUUAAUCGGCUAUAUAAAGCCGAUGAAAGUCUGUAACAAGGGGGGGCUAAAUAUUGUAUAGAGGGAUAUUUGAAAGAAGAAAAAGAAAAAGAAUUUUGAAGGUAAUCAGUGGGUUCCGUUUUUUUCUUUUUACUGUCUUGUUUUUUUUUCUUGUUCUUAAAACAAAAACGAAACAAAGAAGAAGGGGAAAAGCUCUUACCGGCGGCAGCGCGCCGUCGAGGCGCCAUCGUUGUUGUGGCCGAUUGGAGGUGGAGUUGAAACGGCAGAGAGGGGGAGAAAGCAGUCCUUAUGGUGGCUGCUGUUGCUGAAAAG
rnacentral:lncRNA from 1 species